CCGGCGAGUGGCGCACGGGUGAGUAACACGUAUGCAACCUGCCUCUGUCAGGGGUAUAACUCUGCGAAAGUAGGGCUAAUACCGCGUAUAUUCCCGGAGGGCAUCCUCCGGGGAGGAAAGGUUUCGGCCGGACAGAGAUGGGCAUGCGGCGCAUUAGGCAGUUGGCGGGGUAACGGCCCACCAAACCGACGAUGCGUAGGGGUUCUGAGAGGAAGGUCCCCCACACUGGUACUGAGACACGGACCAGACUCCUACGGAAGGCAGCA
rnacentral:rRNA from 1 species